UACAGAGGUCCCAGCGUUGUUCGGAUUCACUGGGCGUAAAGGGUGCGUAGGCGGUCGGGUAAGUCUGAUGUGAAAUCUCACAGCUUAACUGUGAAACUGCAUUGGAUACUAUCCGGCUUGAGGAAUGGAGGGGAGACUGGAAUACUUGGUGUAGCAGUGAAAUGCGUAGAUAUCAAGUGGAACACCAGUGGCGAAGGCGAGUCUCUGGACAUUUCCUGACGCUGAGGCACGAAAGCCAGGGGAGCAAACGGG
rnacentral:rRNA from 1 species